rnacentral:rRNA from 1 species
UACAGAGGUCCCAAGCGUUGUUCGGAUUCAUUGGGCGUAAAGGGCGCGUAGGCGGCUAGGUAAGUCCGUGGUGAAAUCCUGCAGCUUAACUGCAGAACUGCCAUGGAUACUAUUUAUCUUGAAUGUCGUGGAGGUUAGCAGAAUAUGUCAUGUAGCGGUGAAAUGCUUAGAUAUGACAUAGAAUACCCAUUGCGAAGGCAGCUAACUACGCGAUAAUUGACGCUGAUGCACGAAAGCGUGGGGAUCAAACAGG